UAUCCGAGUAACUUUGGAAUCGGAUCUUUAAAACGUUCGGUCCACGAGACUUAAUGGAUUGCAGAUGCAUCUGUAACAACUGAUGUCAACUUAAAAAUUGUGUUCCAAAAACUAACAAAAUAAUAAUAUUAAUAUUCGAAGGUGAAAUAAUCUUAAUUAGGCGACGACCUUCAACUACAGGCAUGACGGUGGCUGCUAUAUAUUACGUAAAGAUAAAGAUAUGUUAAUGAACGGGAAGUCGCGAAGAAGCGGAUAUCGAACAUAGAAUCAAUAGCAUUUUAAAAAUAACACGAGCAUAUCUUUAAAUAAGACGCAAUCUAUUUAUAACCUAUUUUAUUAACUUAAUAGAUAAUAUCGUUGCAACAGAAUCAGAUAGUAUUGCUCUUAUUGCUAAAAUAUAGCUAGGGAUUCAAAUUGCUAAUAAUUAAAAAAACUCUUGGAACCUCUAAAUUUCAGUGACGAUUCCCGACGAGUUGUAGAUUCUGAAGUCAAUCGAUAGUAAUAUAAUGUUCACUAAAUAAAAAAAAGUGUAGUGUUUUUAUAUUGUUCUUAUAGUUUUAUAGAAUUAAAUGUGUUCAAUGUCCAGGCAGAGAUGUUGGUAACAAGGUUAUUCAGAUUGAAUAUUUAAAAUUUAGGAGUACUAAUACAACAGUACUCUAACAUAUGGCCUUGGUAUGACUACAAGCUUGCCACGUGGUACGAGCGACCAUCUUUGGCUUCUUCUUUAUAUUUUCUGGUAGGGGACGUCCAGAUUAUUACCAUUUUAUAAAAGACCGUCGUGUCCUCUGCACGUAAAUGACCAACAGUGACGCGUAUAAAUACACCAUCAAAACUAUGUCUGUUACUCUUAGUAGUUGUCGCCUAGAAACAGUAAAUGUUUACGAAUACCUGUGAUAUGUUACAAUAAAACUAUUUACAACUUAUUAUAGGAAUGUUAUUUCUAAUGUAAAGGUUACCCACAGUAAUCUGUUUCUAUAUAAACAUCUCUAUAACUCAUCACUCAUGUUCCCUAACUGGUGAUGUGGUGACGUCAAUCCAUCACUGUUCCAUCAUCGAUCAUCAUCAAUCGAUGAUAACUGAUCUGUGACGAGUCUCGCUUUGUAUUAUUGAUAUUUGAAUGCUGGUAAUGCUAUCUGAUACGGUAAGCCUGAUUACCUUGUUAUUUUGACUUUUACAUAAGUCUUACUUAGAAUACUCGAUGAAAAUUAUAUUAAUAAAAAAUAAUGGCAAGUGAAAUGAUUGCUAAAUAUUAAGUAAAUUCUUAUCUAAUUAUACAUGAACAUGUGUUUCAUUAUUCAACUCUUUAACGAACACUCUAUUAUUGUGACAUUUCUCAUUUGAAGUGUGACAUGCGUUUGAUUAUUUCCAUCAACAAGUUUGAUAUGAACGUUGUAUCAGCGGGUGUUUCUGAAGUGGAUUCACUUCCGAUCGGGAAAUUGUGAUCGGGAAUAAUCCUCAACAAAACAAGUCAUAAGGCUUGUUUCAUAACAAUUUACUAUUGAAUUGCGAUUCUAGUUAUUCCAAAACAGUACAGAAUUUUAGAAUUUUACCGGCAUUUAUAAUUAUUUUUCAACUUGGUAAAGCGCCUCCUCAUAUGUCUGCUGUAAAUAAUAUUUUGGCGAUAUUUUUUACUAUUUUCUAUUUAAUCGUCACACGUUUUUCUGUCAUUCUCGUCCUCCACAUUACAUGUAACAUAAACACUCAGACGAUUCCAGUAACCACUAUGUGGGAAUUGUAACAGAAGGAGUUAGUUGGUUUUUGAUUCAAGAAGAAACACCCUAAAUACUAAACUAAACUUCAUAAAACUAAGAUUUUAAAGUUAUGAAUACAAGAGAUGUUUUUAUUUUUUGUUAAAUAAACUAGGUUCCCAUAUAAAUAAAAUUAAGACAUGAAGUUACGAUAAAAAACUAUAUCUUAGUACUCGAAACCUUUCGCAAGAAAAACGAAAGGGCCAAUGGACAUAUAGGUUAGGUUAAUAAUAACAAACAACUACUAGCUUGUAAGUUAUAAUUGCAGGGUAGUUUUGAAGUGCGCACUUCUCCUUAAUGUCGCCAUGGGAGUUAGCGGAGCGUGUUUAGAAAGAAACCUUAUACACGUGCGAGUGUGCCGAAAUGAUAUCCCAUGUGACGGCCUGAAACUUCUCCAACUGUUUGCGGCGAGUUAUCAGAAUGUACCUCUCUGACGUUAUCUCGGCCAGCGCCCAGCCGUCAUCAACUCCCCACAUGCACCUUACAAUUUUAUUUCUUAAUCAACUCCUGAUUAUGUUCUUAGGUCAAUGAUAAAGUUUUUCUUUUCUCUUUUUUUUCAAAUAUUUUUUUUAAAGUAUAUGUAAAAUAAAAGAGCUUGUUUCUUAAUCGGUCCGUGAGGAACGAAUAUAAUUAAUUUAAAAAUUAGACGUCCAUAAAUAAUAUUAAAUCAUAGAGAAGAAUAUCACAUGUGUUUAAAACACGAACAUGUCGUGCAUGUUCUUUUUGAUAAAUUAAAUACUGUUUCGGCACAAGCAAACAGUUGUUUCGAUUGAGUUCGAUUGUUUUGUUUGUCUGAAGAAGUUGUUUAAUUACAUAAAUUGGUACAUGUUUUAAUACACAAAUAAAGUCUUAUAAGUAUAUCAGUA